AAUCAACGCUGGCGGCGUGCCUAACACAUGCAAGUCGAACGAGAAAGUGGAGCAAUCCAUGAGUAAAGUGGCGCACGGGUGAGUAACACGUGACUAACCUACCCUGGAGUGGGGGAUAACUGAGGGAAACCUUAGCUAAUACCGCAUAAUACCUACGGGUCAAAGGAGCAAUUCGCUUCAGGAGGGGGUCGCGGCCGAUUAGUUAGUUGGCAGGGUAAUGGCCUACCAAGACGAUGAUCGGUAUCCGGCCUGAGAGGGCGCACGGACACACUGGAACUGAAACACGGUCCAGACUCCUACGGGAGGCAGCAGUGGGGAAUUUUGCGCAAUGGGGGAAACCCUGACGCAGCAACGCCGCGUGGAGGAUGAAGUCCUUCGGGNCGUAAACUCCUUUCGAUCGGGACGAUUAU
rnacentral:rRNA from 1 species